UUGACAUGAAACAUUUACUGGGAUGAGUAUGCGGCAAUGUUUAAAUCAAAAUGAUUACAAUCGUCCAAGCUUGGGCGUCCAGUGUGAUUACUUGUCCAACUCAGAAUUUUACAGACUUAAAAUUGCU